rnacentral:lncRNA from 1 species
ACUUGGCUAUCAAACUCGUCCCUUUUUUUCCUUCGUAACCUACUUUCCUCUCUCCUCUAUGUGGUCUAUCCAGGCUGCACCCCCUUCGGGCAUGUGAUCACGUCUCACCUGUUUGCAAGCAUUAUUUCAGUUUCUAUGAAGAAAAGUCUCGCCUGCUAUACUGAAUAGAGCAUACAACACUCACAGAUGGCACACAUACAGAGUCUGCAUGAUAAUCCAUUUACAGAAAAUACCACAGCCACUGCACUUAAAUGCCAUUUGAAAGAGGGACAAAGUUCACAUCACAAACAGAUUUACAGGGAAAAUAUAAGCUCCAAGCUUCUCCUGAGCAGAUGUGAGCAGCGGUGGCAGUACAUGGUCCUUGUCACUGACCCACCUCCUCCUCACACAUUUCACUAUCGUGUCUGACUCAAGUAAACCAAUAUUCAUCCUGAACACCAUCCAACAUGAUCACAUCAGGGCAAAGAAGCCUUGCAUUUCAUUUUAAACCCUUCCAAAGGAAUGUGUCUUGGGACACCAGUGAAGUUGAUUUUCAUCUAGCAAGAAAUGUAUAUUGUUUAUUUUCCCUUUCACCUAAUAUUAAACUGAAGUAAACAUUAUUUUACCUAUCCAGCUGUUCAUCACUUACACUGAAAUAACGGUUACUCUUAGAUUGUCAGUGUAUUCACCCUUGUACUUUUUAAUAAACAUAAGAUGGUGACAAUUAUACCA